rnacentral:rRNA from 1 species
AUUGAACGCUGGCGGCAGGCCUAACACAUGCAAGUCGGGCGAGUGGCGGACGGGUGAGUAAUGUAUGGGGAACUGCCUGAUGGCGGGGGAUAACUACUGGAAACGGUAGCUAAUACCGCAUACCAUCGGAUGAACCCAGAUGGGAUUAGCUAGUAGGUAAGGUAACGGCUUACCUAGGCGACGAUCCCUAGCUGGUCUGAGAGGAUGACCAGCAACACGGGAACUGAGACACGGCCCAGACUCCUACGGGAGGCAGCAGUGGGGAAUAUUGCACAAUGGGCGCAAGCCUGAUGCAGCCAUGCCGCGUGUAUGAAGAAGGCCUUCGGGUUGUAAAGUACUUUCAGUCGGGAGGCGUUACCCGCAGAAGAAGCACCGGCUAACUCCGUGCCAGCAGCCGCGGUAAUUC